CACACACACACUACUGCAUUCUUCGAUUUCUGCUGUGAAACGUUUAAAUAAUAUGAUUGGUUUGUUAUUUGUGAUUGCAGCCACACACACACUACACUAAAAAGAUUGGUUUUCUUCUAAAGUGGAUUAUUAUGGACUUCUAUUCUAUUCCUUCUGAGUUGCAAGAUGAGGAAGAAUGCUGAUUUUAGGAGCUGAAAGUUUUAUGUUGCUCUAUAUUCAGAAAUCGAUACGAAGUAGCAACAUACUAAAAUUGCUUUUGCUACAGGUGCUGCUGCAGAGAAUCCCAGCUUUCAACAUGUGAAAAAAUUGUUUUUGCUACAGGUGCUGCUGCAGGGAUGUUUGUGAAGGUGUUGACGGACGAGCAGAUGGAAGUUCUCCGCAAGCAGAUUGCUGUCUACGCCACCAUUUGUGAGCAGCUCGUUGAGUUGCACAAAUCCCUCACCUCCCAGACCGAUCUUGCUGGCUCCGUUGCUGAAAAAUUACUCAUAUUUUAGUGAUACAACUGCUACCAGCAGCCUAUUACAUUUGCGAAGAAGCUCUUCAGCGAGAAUCUUAUCCCUCUUAAAUGUGACCCGCUAUUCUACUUGCUCUGGUCAAGACUAUGGCUCGUCCUCAAAGCGAAGAUCACGUGGACCUGUCAUGAAUUAUGAUGAACAAUAUUUUAUUUGGUUUGAUGUAGAAUGUUUGUAUAAUGGAUACUUUUUCAAUGUAGAAUGAUAAAGAAUAUUUGAAAUUAAUGAAUGACAUUUUUAUUA